UGGCUGUUGAGAUGUACGAACUUCCGGUUGUCCUGGCGGCUGUCGCUGCCGCUGCCGCUGCCCCUGCCACCUGCCAGGGCCGGGCCUCGGUUCAGGAUUUGGUCACUUCAUCUCCGUUCUCCACUGUGCCCAUGGUUCCUCCUGGAGCCAGGGCGGCGGGCCCGGCGGCUCCGGAGUGGUGAGAGGGCGGUCCGGGGACGAUGAAAGUCCCGCACUGCAGCUGCUGUUUUAGCCACCUCUUGGCCUCCGCCCUCCUGCUACUGCUAUUGCUGCCAGGUUUGGGAGGGCCUUUGGCUUCGUUGCUGCAGGCGGCCGAGGCCGCACCUGACCCUGGGCCUCCGGACCGCGGGCUGCGGACCCUGCCGCCCCCGCCCUCCGGCCCCUCCGCCGCCCAGUCUCUGGGAGGCGCUCCGGCAGAAGCCGCAGGGCCGCGGGGCGCAGAGGGCGGCAAUGGCAGUAGCACCCGGGCGGGGCUUUCAGCAGAUGACUCCGGAGGAAAGGCCGGGGAAGAAGACUCAGUGGGUGGGAGCCUUGCUGUGAGCCCCAACCCCGGCGACAAGCCUAUGACCCAGCGGGCCCUGACCGUGUUGAUGGUGGUGAGCGGCGCGGUGCUGGUGUACUUCGUCGUCAGGACAGUCAGGAUGAGAAGAAGGAACCGAAAGACUAGGAGAUACGGAGUUUUGGACACUAACAUAGAAAACAUGGAGUUGACACCUUUAGAACAAGAUGAUGAGGAUGAUGAUAACACUUUGUUUGAUGCCAGUCAUCCUCGAAGAUGAGAAUGUGCCUUUUGAUGAGAGGACUUCAUCUUUCUACAGUGAAGAGCAGAAUUUCUAUGUUUAAGGAAUAAGAAGCCACUUUAUCCCUGGGGCGGAGGGGGGUCAAGGCUAAUGGAGAAACCUCUGCUUGGAAUAUUGCCUCAUAGCUAAAUGUCCAGACGUGUGAACUGCAUGCUAGUUCAUAAGCUUCUGCCCUAAAGUGAUAUAUUUCAUUUCCAUCUACAUUUUAUUGGUCCAAACAAACCCUAAAGCUACUCCAGAGUUCAACAAGGCAAGGAUAGGUUAUCUUCUAGCAAUGAGGUAAGUUGAAGUACUUGGCCACCCAAAAUGCCAACUUAGUUUUAUCAGGUAUGCUAACUGGCUUCAGCACAGUGAGUCAAGUCCCCCUGAUGUCACUGUAUUUUUAUAUGUUAUGUAAGCAGGGACUUAAAGUGAAAAUACAUUUCCUCUUCUAAAGGGAUUAGCGUCUCUUUGGCUCCCAUAAUAGUGACUAUGAGGAAACACUUGCCUAGUGAUACUAAGUCAUAGUUUUAUUUCCCAAGAGAAGCCAAGACUCCAGAUUUCUUGUAUGAAGUUUCCUCAUUUUGAAGUGUUACUAAAACAGAACACAUUUUUGGAUUUAAGUUUAGUUCCAUACCUACCAUUUUGUGAUAUUUGAAAAUCAUAUACAGUAGUAUCUUAGAAAUAGUAGUAAUUAAUUUACUGACCACUGUUAUUUAUAAACUGACUUUUGCAUUAAAACUAAAUGGAGGUAAUAAUCAAAUCUACCCUAGAAUAAGAAUUCUGUUUAAGAUAAGUGAUGAUAAUUUUAAUAAAUGAUCUCCGAGUUAGGUUUAAAGAUGUUAACAAUCUGUUACUGACUGUGAACAAUCAAUUGAGAUAACUCACUACCUUUGGACCAGGAAUGAAACAUGAGAGACUAUGGACUAUGAGAAACAAACUGGGGGCCUCAGAAGGGAGGGGGG